rnacentral:rRNA from 1 species
CAGUCGCCGCGGUAAUACGUAGGUGGCAAGCGUUGUCCGGAUUUAUUGGGCGUAAAGCGAGCGCAGGCGGUCAAUAAGUCUGAUGUGAAAGCCCACGGCUCAACCGUGGAGGGUCAUUGGAAACUGUUAAACUUGAGUGCAGGAGAGAAAAGUGGAAUUCCUAGUGUAGCGGUGAAAUGCGUAGAGAUUAGGAGGAACACCAGUGGCGAAGGCGGCUUUUUGGCCUGUAACUGACACUGAGGCGCGAAAGCGUGGGGAGCAAACAGGAUUAGAGACCCCUGUAGUCCCUGUCUCUUAUACC